UCCCGUCUUUAACGUCGCAACGUUUCCCCUAUAGUAAUCGUUUCCCUUGCCCGCGGGUUUCUAGAAAAUUUCAGCGGGCGUAUAUACGAGAGAAGGUAACGCCAACAGAUGGUGAGUGGAACGCGAAUUGAGCGUGCGGUAAACGUACGUCGCGGUGAGUAGAUCACCCAAAACCAGAGGAAAAAGAUUUACAUAUGUGGGGAAGU
rnacentral:lncRNA from 1 species